UAACAUCAAACUCAGAUGUUGAACGUGAAGGAUAACGUUGCGUCAGCAACGGCCCGUAGGGCGAGGCGGAGCCGAGUCAUCCUGCACGACCCACCA
rnacentral:sRNA from 3 species